rnacentral:rRNA from 1 species
GACAGAGGGUGCAAACGUUUGUUCGGAAUUACUGGGCGUAAAGCGCGUGUAGGCGGCUAAGUAAGUCGGGCGUGAAAUCCCACGGCUCAACCGUGGAAGUGCACUCGAAACUGCAUAGCUAGAGUCCUGGAGAGGAAGGUGGAAUGCUUGGUGUAGAGGUGAAAUUCGUAGAUAUCAAGCGGAACACCGGUGGCGAAGGCGGCCUUCUGGACAGUGACUGACGCUGAGACGGCGAAAGCGUGGGGAG